AGCCCAACAACAGGACAGCCUGGAGAGGCCGUCACUCUGCACGUUCCUGAGAACAUUAAGGACAUCCUAUGAUCUGAGCACCAGCGGCCUAUGGAGAGUGCACAACCCUGAAUCCCCAGCAGGCCUCACAGGCUGCAUCCAACUAACCCAACAAUGGCCAGCUGUGGAUGGACAGUCCAAGAAUCCAGUACCUGCUGAGUCCCUCAGGGCUGGCUGGGUGUCUCAGCUGCUCUUCGGUAUAAACUGGAAUCCUGAAGAAGUAGGCGCCAAUGGAUGUGCUGGCAAAGUGAAUUCAAGCAGU
rnacentral:lncRNA from 1 species